rnacentral:rRNA from 1 species
AAUCAACGCUGGCGGCGUGCCUCAGACAUGCAAGUCGAACGAUUAAGACUCUCUUCGGAGAGUGUAUAAAGUGGCGCACGGGCGAGUAACACGUAGGUAAUGUGCCUUUGGGUGGGGAAUAACUUAGGGAAACUUAAGCUAAUACCGCAUAAUGCAGCGGCCCGACAUCGAGACAGUUGUUAAAGAUUUAUCGCCUAAAGAGCAGCCUGCGGCAGAUUAGCUAGUUGGUAAGGUAAUGGCUUACCAAGGCUACGAUCUGUAACCGACCUGAGAGGGUGGUCGGUCACACUGACACUGAAUAACGGGUCAGACUCCUACGGGAGGCAGCAGUCGGGAAUUUUGGGCUAUGGGCGAAAGCCUGACCCAGCAACGCCGCGUGAAGGAUGAAGUAUUUCGGUAUGUAAACUUCGUAAGAAUAGGAAGAAUAAAUGACGGUACUAUUUGUAAGGUCCGGCUAACUACGUGCCAGCCGCCGCCGUAAGAC